rnacentral:lncRNA from 1 species
UUAUUUUCAAUGGGGGUUACUAUAAUUUCUUAAAUAUCAUAUACUUAUUAUUCAUUUUCUUAAACUUAUGGUAGGAUAGAGAAAUUAAAAUUGUAGGUUGUCUACUGGUUAUGAUGUAAGAACUUGAAAUUUUUCACAUUACAAGAGAAAAGCAUGAUCCUAAGACUCAAAAAAAAAAAAAAAUCACGAUAGCCAUCUC